UUAAUAAAUAUUCUGGAUAAUUAUUAUGUUAUGUAUAUUCCCACAUAUUUCUAUAUUCUCAUUCUUAUCGUCAUUUAAUAUGAAGUUUGUCAAUAAUCAAAUUUUUAUGGUUUGCUAGAAUUUCGAUAAAUUUUAACAUUUAUCCUCAUAGAAGAUAAAAAAUUUAGUGCUUAUAAUUUCAAAAAUGUAUUUAUGAAUAAAUAAUGUUUUGAUUAAUAUCCAAACUGUCCAGACGCAUCAUGGUUAAGUGGCUUCAAAAUAAAAUAUUAGUGCAAAGAAUAUUUCUUCUAAGCAUUACUGGCAUGAUUGCACAUGAAAUAUUAGUGGGCUACCUCGAUUAUAACAAUCAGGUGGUUGAGUAUAUGGAGUCGAUGUCGUACCAACAAGCCCGGGAAUCUAGUAGGAUGAAAAGUCGAGGACUCUCUCUUUUGGAUGGAGUCAAGUCGUCUGCGAGAAAUCAACACGCAGCUAACACAGAAACCGAGUAGAUCUCCACGGUUCUGCAAUGAAAGUUGUAUUGGUUAAAUUAUAUUAGUGUAUUUGUUUAUUUAUGAUUAUAUAUAUACAAAAUUUCUUACUACUUAGAAUAUUUUAUAUAUUUUUAAAUGUCUCAAAAAAGAAUUGUACACAUAAUUUUUAAUAAGACAUUUCUGAGGCUUUUAUUUAGAGUGUUUGGAAAAUUAAAAUUAUUGUAAUUAUUUUUUGGUAUGUUAUCUACAUAUCGAGAGAUCAUAUAUUCUUGUGACAUAAAGCAUAUCUAAAAGACGUCUUUAAGAUCUUUUAGACACGCGUGUUGUUUGGGAUAUGAUUACGAAUAAGUCACUGCCACGUGGUUAAUAUGUACUCAGAAUUCUCGAGUAAAUUCAGCUUUCUCGCAAUCCCUCGAGCAUUUCAAUACAUAGAUAUCGCGAGCGUAAAACUAAAAGAAAGAAUAUAGUAUUUCCUGUAUAAGACGCAACAAAGGAACAAAGAUACCGAUGAGCGGUAUAAUUUAACGUAAGACUUACAUGCAAUGCGAUAGAAUCUCGAGAAAAGUUACAGCUGAGGUCAAUCUUUUAUUCAGAUCUGUCGAAUUUACAACGCGAGAAGGAAUUCUUAGGCAAACAAUGGCUCAUUUUGACAUCACGAAUGUUAAUGAUAAUUGAUGCAUUCUUGACGUAACAAUUGAAAAUUUUCUCCGCCAAAACUAUCCGCAGAUAUUUCAACUAAAAAUAUCAGUAAUGUA